UUAUGCCUCUAGUGUGUAUUUGGAUUAAAUAUGUUGGAAAAGUAACAUUUCCAGACGAUCCAGAAUGUUUCUGAAAGGUGAGAUGCGGUAGAAAGUGAAAAAGUGGACUUUUGACACCUAAAUCGACAGAAAUGUCCAUCUGAGGUCCAGAAAUCAUGGACGAUCGCUAUGAAAUUAUGCCUCUCGUCUGUAUUUGGAUUAAAUACGUUGGAAAAGUAACAUUUCCAGACGAUCCAGAAUGUUUCUGAAAGGUGAGAUGCGGUAGAAAGUGAAAAAGUGGACUUUUGACACCUAAAUCGACAGAAAUGUCCAUCUGAGGUCCAGAAAUCAUGGACGAUCGCUAUGAAAUUAUGCCUCUCGUCUGUAUUUGGAUUAAAUACGUUGGAAAAGUAACAUUUCCAGACGAUCCAGGA